UGGGAAGCUCCGGGCGCCCAGGCUUGGGCUUCGUCGUGGAGCGUUUGCGCGGCCAGCUUGGGGAAGGGUCGUUUCAAGGUUGGGCUUGGAGGAGAGGGCAGUAGCCGAGUCCCCUCUGCCCUAAAGAACGAGAAGAAUCGUGUUCUAUGCCUGGAGGACAGAGGCAGCCCGUGCGGGUCGGACAGCCCACUCUGUUCUGCCAGUACUUCGGGAGGUUCUGGGGUGCAUAGUGCACUUUUCCCAACCUGCCCUCAGCUUCUGGAGGCAGAGAGCAGGGCCAGGCUGCUGUCAUGCCGUUUCACGAUCUGUUUAAUUUUUGACCUACAGUGCCAGGUUUGGGGGCCCGCCUCGUGGGUGGGCAUUUUGGUAGUCAUUCAGCCAUUUGAGCACCAGCUACGUGUCGGACACAAUAUUAAACGAUGGAAGUACAAGGAAAUAAAACAGCUCCUGACCAGGAGCCUGGUUGGGGGACAGGCAGGAAAACAGUUUGGAAAGUGAUCUAAUAGAAAGAAUGGAUUUUGGACUACUAAUCAUUCCCUAAGGCCUAGAAGUAGGAUCGAACCUAUCAUUUUGAAAAGUGUUUGGCGAAUGAGUAUAUAUUCAUAUGCCCAAAACCAUAGUUUUGUUUUUCUUCUUAUUCCCUAAUUGGAAUUGUUCCCAAGGUUGCUAUGUGGAACUGUUUAUCCAUCUGUCCCUAGGAGAAGUGGUUAGGAUAAUUCUUAACACUAAUAAAUGAACAUUCUGCUGCUUACUGAAAUAAGAUCUCUUAGUGAGAUCAGUCUCCAGGCUUUACCUUGGAGAGACCUGUUUUGUAUUUCCUACUUUAAGUUGGAAGCCUGUACUUUGGCAAAAUUAGUAACAAUAAUUGUUUUAUUGUACAGUUAUGACUAAAUAGAAUUAUAAAUUUAUAACAGAAACAAGGGCUUGAUACGUGGUUAUUCACAAAGUAGCAGAGAAAAUAUUUUAACUGGAGAUUUAAACUUCAUGGAAUUUAGGGUAGCAAAGGAAAUCCUCACCUCUCGAAUCUAGCUAAUUCUCCAGGUUGGUUUGCCUACCAGUGUGUCCCAGGGAAGGCUGACUGCAAAAGAUUGUAAAGAAAUUUCCCAUUGAUGAAAAACCUACAGGAUCUUUGCAGAAUUCCUAAAUGAUGGAUUGCUGAGUUGAUUCAGGUCAAGUGUUUUACUUAUUAUCUGACCUUAGACUAUGGGAUUGCCUUUUUUUUUUUUUUUUUUUUUGAGAUGGGGUCUCGCCCUGUUGCCAGGCUGGGAUGCACUGGCUUACUGCACCCUCCGCCUCCCGGGUUCACGCCAUUCGCCUGCCUCAGCCUCCAGAGUAGCUGAGACUACAGGCGCCCACCACCACGCCUGGCUAAUUUUUGUAUUUUAGUAGAGACAGGUUUCACCAUGUGGCCAGGCUGGUUUUGAACUCCUGACCUCCAGUGAUCUGCCCUCCUCGGCCUCCUAGAGUGCUGGGAUUACAGUCGUGAGCCACUGCUCCUGGUGCGAGUAUCUUUCAAAUCUAGACCCAACGGUAUGGCAGACAGUAAAGAAUCUUAUAUUUCUUUUUCAUGUUGUUAUUCCAGCACACAUUAUUAGAGUCUAGGAUGAACAGUUUCAGGUAGUAGGAUGAUAAUGUUGUAUCUCAUUUUUGUGGCCUUCCUCACUGUUUUAAUAAUCAUGUUAGUGACCAUUUAUUGAGUCUCAGCACAGUGCUAAAUGCUCUCCAUAUGUGGUAUCAUUCAAUCCUUUCACUUUUUAUGGAUGAGAAGACUGAGGUUUAGAGACCUACCACAUUGGUAGGUUAAUGAUACAUUCAUCAAAAGUAACAACCUUGUUAGGAGGAGUUGUUUACAGAGGAUAUACUAGUACUCUUUCAGUUUUAACUAAAGCUUCCAUUUACUGAUAGCUCAAUUUUGUGCCAUUGCCAGUAAAAACAAAUUGAUGGCUGACACCUGUAAUCCCAGCACUUUGGGAGUUCGAGGCGGGAAGAUCACCUGAGCCCAAGAGACCAACUUGGGCAACAUAGCAAGACCCUGUCUCUACC
rnacentral:lncRNA from 1 species